CAUGGGGGGAAUGGAUUUUAUCGCAGGCAGUAUAAUUGUGCAAUGAGCAGCCCUGACUUAUGGGUGACAGCCCAUUAGAUUAUCUCCUGAAACUGCAACUUGUUUUUCUGUCUGCAUUUUCAACCCACAGAAGAGGGAUAUAAGGUAAUGAAAGGGGCUGUAAUCCCUUCUCUUUGGAGCUUAUGUGACCAGGAGAAUGAUCUUAAUAGACUUGGGGCUGGCCUACAGAUCCCCCUGGUAGGCAAUUGGAUGUUUUUCUUGGAGUCAUGGGGGAAAGAACUUAGACAUGUUAUAGAAAUACAGCCUCGGACUUAAACUUGACCUUUGAAGACCCAGGAGUACGGUCCAUGUAAUGCUGAAGCCACCAUUCUGAAAGGAAUUAAUGAGUUUCACUGUUCUUCAGGCUGGCCUUAAACUCACCUUAUAGCCCAGGCUGUACUUGAACUUGCAAUGGUCCUCCUACCUCAACCUCCUGAGUUCUGGGAUUAUAAGCAUGUGCCAACAUGCAUGGCACUAGGUUCAUUUUUCCAAUAGAAGAGGUUGAGCCAUCCUAACACCAUCUUAUGGGCACACACGUUUGCCUAUGUGCACCAACAGUCAUAUUGCUUGGUGCACACUGAACUCCUGAGAAGAUACUGAGGGUUUCCCAUGAAGAAUUACACCAGUAUCCCUAUUCAACUGGACCAAUCAGAAGUAGCAAAGAUGCUUUAUUAUGGACUCACUUUAGCUGGGAUCAAUGACAGAAGCUCACCAACGUGCUGAUCCAAAAAUCACAACUACCUCACAAAGACUGAGACCUGGUAAAGACAAUGAUUAGGGGUGUAUGACAGAAAUGCAAAUUGGACACUGCUGAAUGUAGCACUAUUUUGUAUUCAACAAAUAUAUAUAUCAGUGGCAAAUCAAACUUCAUGGUAGAUACCACCUGUCCCUUGUAACUAGAUGUUGCUGAUAAGUGACAUAAAUAUUUGGUGGGAUGGUCACAAGUGUAUAGGUAUGGUGUCCAACAAUUAGCACAUUAUGGAUGCCUUAUGGAAAUGUGGCACCAUGAGUUAGCCUUACCUACCUAGUGGACAGCAAGCUGCAUAUAAUUCCACACACCAUUAGACUUUCCCUAAGAGAUGUGUCCCAAACUUUGAUGUUACGAACCACAGAUGGCACCACACAAAGCAGGUGGCCUGGUGUUGUUAUCUGUUGGCCUUCAUGAUGCCAGGGACAUGCACUAAAAGUCUGGUCCUCCAGGUUGAAGCUGUGGCUCAAAAUUUGAUUCAGACCUUGAAUGUUAUGCUUCAGAUUUCAGUGUUGCUCAUGGAAGAGCUUUCUCAAAUGGGAAAGGUAGUUUUGCAAAGCAACAUGGCUCUUCAUUUGAAACGGAAGCAUAGGAACUUACUUUUGGCCUCUUGCAUGUGAAAUGUUGCAUUUAUAUCCCUGACUAUCAGACACAGGCAUAAGAAAUCUUGCAAGAGUUUGGUAUGGAGAUGGCCACGAUCCAGGUCUUGCAAUGGACCCCUUCAUCCAAUGGUGGGAGUCCUUGUGAUCCACCUGUUGCUGAGUAAUCACAAAAUGUGCUGUGGUGGGAAUGGGGUUGUUAAUGUUCUACUGUUCCCUUAACUGUUUUGUUCUCUGUGCAUAGGGUCCUACCCUGUAGAUCAUUCACAAGAAACAAUAUGCCCCAACCUCUGAGGGUGUGGGAUGUGGGGAACCACUCAAUACUGCUAGUAAUCUUGGAGUUUCUGAGGAUAUCUGAGGAUGUAACCACACUCUUUUGUGCAGUUGCGCAGCAGGAUAUACUUAUGUAACCAUGACUUACCAUAGGCAAGCAUGCAUAUUCUUCAUGGUGAAGCAAACAAGAAAAUAAAAAUGUGGAAAAGGCAUAUAUAAGGGUUGAACUAUAAAGAUACAGAUGUUGUCUUUGAUUUGCUGCUGUUUUUUGCUGCUGAUGACUCCUCAUGUUUUGUUUUCCAUGGGAACCUCAUUCAUGAGAAAACACCAGCUUCCAACCUAAAGACAUCCCAUUAUAGUAAUAUAUGUAUAUUUGUGUUUAUAAUAGCACAAUUCAUAAUAGCUACAACUCUGAAACAGCAUACAUGUCAAUCCAGAGAUGAGUGAAUAAAGAAAAUGUGCAAAAUUCUGGGAAGACAGCAUAGGAGUCAAGAGCAACAAAUCAAUUUUUAUGAGACUUGGAAUCCAGACACUGGGAUAUAACAACUUCAGAGAGAAAAGCAGAAGGGAGUUGGAUCCUCAGGAUCCAGAAGGAUCUAAAGGGAAACCUAUAACCCACAGAAAAAAUAAAGAGAUAGAGGAAAACAUUGAAAAUAUAGGUGGCAAACUGUACUUUCUACCUCCUGGUUCAUAGCCCAAGACAGGAAUGAACCUACAGAGACACAGAGAGGGCAGGUAACUCCAGAGAAUUCAAGGAGAAAUUCACCAGUGAAAUGUUGCAGUGGAUGAGGUGAGCUACAAAAGCUUGUGAGUUAUUCCAGCUAAAACAUCUGUUGUAUCCUUUGGAGAGGGUAUGUGGCCAGUCACCAACUAGGUCCAGGACUUGGAAUACCCAUACAUUGGUUUCCUGUUAGUGUUUCCAGUGUUGAGAUCUCAUAGCUUCUAGGUGAGCAUGCAGAGAAGCUGUGCUGCAGAUUGAUCAUGCAUGUGUGGCUAGAGCAGGGCCAGCCUCAAGAACACGGAGCACCGUGGGUAAACCAGACCAGUGUGUUGCUAGGCAGGUCCAUUCUCCCAUAAGCAGAAAGGUUUUACAUAUUAUCAACCUCUUCCUGAUUGUGUAAAUAAGUGCAUUGCAGUUUUGGGGCAGUUUCUUUCUCUCAUCAGGAGAGGGGAUUCCACCUCCCCUCAACUUUCU